rnacentral:tRNA from 1 species
GGAGAUGUAACUCAAUGGUAGAGUAGCUGUCUAGAAAACACAAGGCUCUGAGUGUAAACCCCAGUAGUAUCA